UACGUAGGGGGCAAGCGUUGUCCGGAAUCAUUGGGCGUAAAGAGCGCGUAGGCGGCCCGGUAAGUCCGCUGUGAAAGUCAAAGGCUCAACCUUUGAAUGUCAGCGGAUACUGCCGGGCUAGAGUCCGGAAGAGGAGAGUGGAAUUCCUGGUGUAGCGGUGAAAUGCGCAGAUAUCAGGAAGAACACCCGUGGCGAAGGCGGCUCGCUGGGACGUUACUGACGCUGAGACGCGAAAGCGUGGGGAGCAAACAGG
rnacentral:rRNA from 1 species